rnacentral:rRNA from 1 species
UACGUAGGUGGCGAGCGUUGUCCGGAUUUACUGGGCGUAAAGGGAGCGUAGGCGGAUUUUUAAGUGAGAUGUGAAAUACUCGGGCUCAACUUGAGUGCUGCAUUUCAAACUGGAAGUCUAGAGUGCAGGAGAGGAGAAUGGAAUUCCUAGUGUAGCGGUGAAAUGCGUAGAGAUUAGGAAGAACACCAGUGGCGAAGGCGAUUCUCUGGACUGUAACUGACGCUGAGGCUCGAAAGCGUGGGAGCAAACAGG